GAUGAACGCUGGCGGCGUGCUUAACACAUGCAAGUCGAACGGACUGCGAGGAGCUUGCUCCUCAAAGUUAGUGGCGGACGGGUGAGUAACGCGUGGGUAACCUGCCCUAUGCAGGGGGAUAACGUUUGGAAACGAACGCUAAUACCGCAUAAUCUAGUCGGUUCGCAUGAACUAACUAGCAAAGAUUUAUCGGCAUAGGAUGGACCCGCGUUGGAUUAGGUAGUUGGUGAGAUAACAGCCCACCAAGGCAACGAUCCAUAGCCGGCCUGAGAGGGUGAACGGCCACACUGGGACUGAGACACGGCCCAGACUCCUACGGAAGGCAGCAGUGGGGGAUAUUGGGCAAUGGGGGCAACCCUGACCCAGCGACGCCGCGUGUGUGAAGAAAUCCUUCGGGAUGUAAAGCCCUGUUGUAUGGGAAGAGUAGAAGACGGUACCAUACGAGGAAGCCCCGGCAAACUACGUGCCAGCCGCCGCUGUAA
rnacentral:rRNA from 1 species